rnacentral:misc_RNA from 1 species
AAGUCGUAACAAGGUUCCCGUAGGUGAACCUGCGGGAGGAUCAUUAAAGAAAAUAAAGCAUCGAUAAAGUCGUUGCACCCGUUGCAUAGUUUACGUUGUUUGGAUGCGCGGGUAGGAAUUGACGGAACAAACGCGGCUCGUACGAGAAAUUGGCCAUUUCUUCUCGUACGAGUACCAAUUUGACGGGAAAUGGCCGGUUUAAGAACCAAACAUUUAUUCGGGGUUGUUACGGGCAACAUACGAGAGCUUUUCCCGUUCAACGGGAAUAGCGAAUAUUAAAGAGCUACGGUUCUGGCUACCUUAACGGGUAGCCUAGCCGCCCCGAAAAAAAUUAAAAUUUUUCUAAGUCCAAAAAUAAUACGCAAAGACAAAAAAAAUCACAACCAUGAGCGGUGGAUCACUCGGCUUGCGG